GGUUAUAUAGUAUAGUAGUAGUAUAUAUAUACUUUAUAUUUUAGCAAUCUUGAAUUCCUAGGUUUAGGGUUGCUAGAUCGUUUAUACUAGGUUAUAGGUUCGAUUCCUAUUGUAACUA